AUCCCUGUAGCACAAUGAAUAGUGCAAUGGACUUAUAAUCCAAAAGGCGGGGGUUCGAAUUCCACCUGGGAUG